rnacentral:rRNA from 1 species
UCGCAAGCUCGCGAGAGUAAGCUAAUCUCUUAAAGCCGUUCUCAGUUCGGACUGUAGGCUGCAACUCGCCUACACGAAGUCGGAAUCGCUAGUAAUCGCGGAUCAGCAUGCCGCGGUGAAUACGUUCCCGGGCCUUGUACACACCGCCCGUCACACCAUGGGAGUUUGUAACGCCCAAAGUCGGUGACCCAACCUGAGAAGGAGGGAGCCGUCGAAGGCGGGGUCUGAUGACUGGGGUGAAGUCGUAACAAGGUAUC